rnacentral:rRNA from 1 species
AGAGUUCGAUUCUGGCUCAGGACGAACGCUGGCGGCGUGCUUAAUACAUGCAAGUCGAACGCUCUCGACCUUCGGGUCACUGAGAGAGUGGCGAACGGGUGCGUAACACGUGAGAAACCUACCCCGAAGACGGGAAUAGCCCGAGGAAACUCGGAUUAAUACCCGAUAUCUCCACACUGUCGCAUGGCAGAGUGAAGAAAGUUCAGGCGCUUCGGGAGGGUCUCGCGGCCUAUCAGCUUGUUGGUGAGGUAACGGCUCACCAAGGCAUCGACGGGUAGCUGGUCUGAGAGGAUGAUCAGCCACACUGGGACUGAGACACGGCCCAGACUCCUACGGGAGGCAGCAGUAGGGAAUCUUGCGCAAUGGGCGAAAGCCUGACGCAGCAACGCCGCGUGGGGGAUGAAUGCCUUCGGGUUGUAAACCCCUUUCAGCAGGGACGAAAAUGACGGUACCUCCACAAGAAGCCCCGGCCAACUACGUGCCAGCAGCCGCGGUAAUA